GGCCUCCCGGUGCCUACCACAGGCUGUGUUCUUACACCACCUGUUGAGAAAGAGGCGGUAGAGUAAACCCGCCCCAUAUACACCUCAGCCCAGGCCCUCUCCCUGAUCUGUAUUGUGAAUAGGGAAACAUGG